GGAACUGGUCAAAUAGAACAAAAGGAUGCAGUAACUUGUGUUGAGUCUAAAAAGACUCAAGAGAAGGAACAGAAAUGAAAAAAGGAGGAAUUAAUCGGUUAGUCUGAGCCAAAAUUGAAGUAGGUGAUGAUAUAUUCAGUGCCAGAAGACAUGGACGCUGAUAAUCUCUGGCUCCUCACGGAGAACUUCAUCAAGAACAGGAUGGGAUGCAAAGAAGAAUGUAUUAUCGACUCUGGACAGCAGAUCGACUGGAGGCUCACAGUGGGUACAACACCUUGACUCAUCUAGCUGAGAUUCCAGCAGGAAGUAAAGACAUUUAAGGUUCUCAGGGCAGCACUGCUGGGUACAAAAAAAAAAAAUCACUUUGAACCACGACUACCCAAUACAGGAAUAUGAAAACUGAAAGUGGCGGUGAGAUAGAUACAGUAUUCCUGGAAACGAAGGUAAAGGGACACAUUUUCUUCCCAGCUGGGAGUUCAGUUCCAAGAUGGUACAGAGGAAAUCUGCCAAACCAGAAGAGGCAAACCAGGCCCACUGGCACAUUGUCAAAGGAAGACGAGCAAGAAUGAGGAGCAAAGACUGAGGGAUACACAAUCAGAAACCUUGUGAAGACGACAAAUAAAGGACCAAGACGCGCAAUGAUGCAGUUAAAAAGGACUCUGGAAAUCAAAGUGGACGCCAGUAAGACACACCUUAUACCGGACACUCUCACUGGGGUGCCGUUCUUAACUGAUCCCCAUGUAUUGAGACUUCAGCCCGUUCUACAGGGGAACACGCUCUCAUCUCUUCUGGUUUGUGACCUUGUCAUGUUACAGCAUUUGCACACUUCUCCUUUAAAAUGGUAGAUCACACAAAACCUCCAGAAUCCUUCCUGCAAAUAACUUUUUUUUCAUCAGCUGAGAUCCACAGGGGAUGCUGGAGGAAAAUGAUAAAGAAACAGUAAAAGAUGCGACAUAACAACCCCACACCUGCACAUGGGAGGACAGAAGACACUUCAUGAGUGGGUAGAUGCAAGUGUCAGAGAUGGAUGGAGUGACAGCAAGAGCAGAGGUAAAUUAAACAGGGACCAGGUGAGACUGACAUGAAAUGAGAGAAUAUGGGGGAGAAGUGGCUGCUCGGUGAGGACAGUCAAAGUACUCAAAAAGAUCUUCUACCUGAACAUUAAAGCAGAGUGCAGUUUCUAAUUUGCAAACUAUCAAUGACCCAGUGCUGUUGUGCCGUACACAUAUUGCAUCUGUCACCAUGAAUGCCGCCAGGAUACUUAAAGAAAGGCAUCCAUUUAUGCAUAAGCUGGGGGUCGUCCACUCGGUCAGGGUGGAGUAGGUUUUUGUUCCAGCCAGUCAAUAGGCUGACAUAGAUUAACCAAUCAGGUGUCAGCUGGAACAAGCUGCAGCAGACUGACAGUCAACUAUUAUUGUCUUCACACCUGCUUGGUUGACGUGUGACUGAUUGGUUGGAACCAAAACCUGGACCUCUGAGGGCCAAGAUGAAGACCCCCUGAUACUAGCAUUGACUGAGCCGGAGGCCAGGUCCAGGGCAACUCAUCUUCAGUGUGUAAAUAUAUGUGUUUAGAAUAAAACAAAACAAACAAACUCCAACCCAGAAUCAUAUGUAUCAAAAAAAAAAAAAACAAAAAAAAAAACUAAUGUUCAAAGAAUAUUGAGAAAAACACAGUAAAGAGAAAUAAAAUGAAUAAAAAAAGUCAAAUGAAAUAAUCACGCCAUUCAGCUUUGUUCCGACCAAAGUGCUACUUCUUUUCUGAAAGUCAUGGAACAAAUAAUAAUAAAAUAGUACAUUUUUAAAUUGUUAUUUCAUUUUUUUUCCAGCUUGUAUUUUGCAAAGUUAUUAUGCACGUGUCCAUGUGGCUUUGGAUUAUUCAGGCCUGGGCUAUAACAAAACUUGGCUUCCAACAGACACGUAUUAAACAAUGAGUUUUCAUUUUUGGACAUAGCAAGAGGCAGGAUAAAUAUUAAAAAUGCACUAUUUAGGAUUUUGAAUUAAUCUGACCGAUGACUUUUGCAUCCACACCCCCACAAAAAAUAUACAAUAUCUACAUGUACAACGAAACAGCGGCUAUUCAUUGUAUGUAACGUGCAAAUAUUACAUCCAAGAAUGCAAAAUUUUUGGUGAUGAUUCUAUGCAAUAGUCAACAAAUAAAUUAUACUAUACAGUACAAACAUAUGUUAUAGUUGUCUGUGCAUGUUUUUGAAUAAUAUUUUCAAAUGUGGACCACAAGGGGAGCUCCAAUCUCAAUGAUAUGUAUUCAAAUCAUUACAUACUGUAUGUGUAUCUUAGUGUAUUUAGCAUUUAGCAUUAUCACAAAUUGCUUAUUUUAUUUAAGGUGCUGCUAAUUUUGUGGUAAUUUCAUUUGACUUCCAGGAUCGUUUUUUGACAUGGAAUCUGCCAUGGAAUCUGAUCAUGGACCACAAAGCUGAUCUUUGUUUUUUUGGAAUUGUCCUGUAGGUUUCAGGAUUCCAGCAGCCUGUAUUCCAAUUCUUGUUUUCACUCUUUCUUUUGUUUCUCUUUGUGCAGCAUUUUCCCUUGGACACCUAACACUACCUGACACUGUAACUCUAUGUUGUUUAUUGUGUGUGUGUGUGUGUGUGUUUUUUCAAUUUCAAAAUUAGUCUUGAGAAAUCACUUGCGCUUUAACCGCUCAAACGCAUAACAUCCACUGCUGUCACGCUGUUAUGCAGACGUCUUGUAUCGGGAAACAGGGGUCUCAGUGACUACAGUAUAGAGUUUUUAUUUUGCGACACCCAGAAGCAUAUGGACGUGGAUGGGGCAGCGCAGCAUGAAUCAUUGAUGGUGAUCAUUAAAGGGAGAGCAAGAGGGGAAAGGUAGAUGAAAUAAAUGGCUGCACCAGCCCACUCCCUGAGUCACAGUGAUGUGAACUGACAGGACACAAGAUAAGGAGCAAUUACCCAGAGUCAUUUGGGCCAAGAGCAAAAGGCGUGCUCGCACACUCACCACUCGCAAACACAGGUACAGAUACACCUGCAGGCAGAGAAUCACAGUCGCAUGAAGAGGACACACACAUGAGCGAUAGAUGUUUUCUUUUCUAACCUGCACGCACACACACGUACAUGACACUUAGUUUGACUUAUUCCUCUCUUUUUCCUGGCUGGAGGGGAAAAGGUUCCGUCUCUCUUUCCAUCAUACUCUACUAAGCCCCAGGGAGAGAAAGCACUUAAGAUAACAUAGACACGACACAUGUUGAGACACAACAGCGCUCUAGACUUAGUGAUGUCAGAGAGAGAGCACGAAAGCUCUGCUGGAAUGAGGAUGAAGCACAGACUCUAAAUUAACAGUCAGCUGGAUUUCAGACACUUUUGUUGUCGCUGGAUUCGCACUGAAGUAGUUCUGAUUCACAAAAUGGCUCAUGAGAACGUGGCCUGACAUGGCAGUAUACAAGUGACAUUGAAACCAUCAUGACAAGGCACACCGCGACAAAAGUACAUCGGACUGACUGUGGCAUUCUGGGGCCAGGCUGGGUCUGUUUGUUAAGGUUAAGGUUCACACAACUGAACCUGUGGGCGGGGCAAGCUUGUAAUAAAUAUCUCAAUCUUUCCAGAUUCAUCUUCCCUUCAUUUUCAGACAAAUUUAUAGGCGAGCAAGGAACAAUGGAAUUGGUGUAAGGCUCAAAUUGUAGUGUUGACACGAAACCCCAAAACCUCAGAAGUGGGAGGAUGCACACCACUGCGGCACAGUAUUGCAUUGCCUCUUCAUCCAACCCAUCCUCACGCCCAUGAUGUCGUAUAUUGACAUUGCGAAAGUUGCCUUUAGCGUCCUAUACUGACAAAAAAGCCUUCAGUGUUGGAUGUUGACACAUUGGCAGCGCAACACAUGAAAAAAAGUCGGCGGUUAGGGUUAGCCAUGGGAUGGGGUUCCAGAGGCAGUCCUUCUAAAAUGCUCCCCCUGGGGGGGCGAGGAGCUAUGCCGGCGGGUACGAGAAUGAAGUGUAUUUGCACAUCCACUCAUGAUUUUUGUUUUUUCAGGCAAAUUGAUGCACUUUAAGUCUUUUCUGUUACUGACAAAAGCAGUGUUAAUAAAGCUAUUCUUUAUUGUAUGUUGAUCUAUAACACAUUCUUUUUCUUUUCUUUAAUAUUAACAAGGAUACAAUGUUGUGCAGAGGUGUACGGAUGAUAAUUUUAUAGAGAAAUGACACUA